rnacentral:rRNA from 1 species
GGCGGACGGGUGAGUAAUGCCUAGGAAUCUGCCUGGUAGUGGGGGACAACGUUUCGAAAGGAACGCUAAUACCGCAUACGUCCUACGGGAGAAAGCAGGGGACCUUCGGGCCUUGCGCUAUCAGAUGAGCCUAGGUCGGAUUAGCUAGUUGGUGAGGUAAUGGCUCACCAAGGCGACGAUCCGUAACUGGUCUGAGAGGAUGAUCAGUCACACUGGAACUGAGACACGGUCCAGACUCCUACGGGAGGCAGCAGUGGGGAAUAUUGGACAAUGGGCGAAAGCCUGAUCCAGCCAUGCCGCGUGUGUGAAGAAGGUCUUCGGAUUGUAAAGCACUUUAAGUUGGGAGGAAGGGCAUUAACCUAAUACGUUAGUGUUUUGACGUUACCGACAGAAUAAGCACCGGCUAACUCUGUGCCAGCAGCCGCGGUAAUACAGAGGGUGCAAGCGUUAAUCGGAAUUACUGGGCGUAAAGCGCGCGUAGGUGGUUUGUUAAGUUGGAUGUGAAAGCCCCGGGCUCAACCUGGGAACUGCAUCCAAAACUGGCAAGCUAGAGUACGGUAGAGGGUGGUGGAAUUUCCUGUGUAGCGGUGAAAUGCGUAGAUAUAGGAAGGAACACCAGUGGCGAAGGCGACCACCUGGACUGAUACUGACACUGAGGUGCGAAAGCGUGGGGAGCAAACAGGAUUAGAUACCCUGGUAGUCCACGCCGUANACGAUGUCAACUAGCCGUUGGAAUCCUUGAGAUUUUAGUGGCGCAGCUAACGCAUUAAGUNNACCGCCUGGGGAGUACGGCCGCAAGGUUAAAACUCAAAUGAAUUGACGGGGG